rnacentral:tRNA from 1 species
GGUUUUGUAGUGUAGCGGUCAUCACACUGGAUUUUGAUGCAAAGAAUUCCAGUAACCCCGGUUCGAAUCCGGGCAAGACCU